rnacentral:rRNA from 1 species
UACGUAGGGGGCAAGCGUUGUCCGGAUUUAUUGGGCGUAAAGAGCGUGUAGGCGGCCAUACAGGUCAGCUGUGAAAACUCGAGGCUCAACCUCGAGACGUCGGUUGAAACCGUUUGGCUAGAGUCCGGAAGAGGAGAGUGGAAUUCCUGGUGUAGCGGUGAAAUGCGCAGAUAUCAGGAAGAACACCCGUGGCUAAGGCGGCUCUCUAGUACGGUACUGACGCUGAGACGCGAAAGCGUGGGGAGCGAACAGG